GUUGUUUGGCCGAGUGGUUAAGGCGUGCGGGUGCUAACGAAGACGAGAGUUCGAAUCUCACAAUCAACA
rnacentral:tRNA from 1 species